ensembl:lncRNA
CUCUUGUGUUCUGGGGGCCUCUGGAUGUCUGGAGUUUUGAUCUCCUCCAUACCUGCUUCAUGCCCUGGAGGACGGGGCUGUGGCCCCCCCACACCCUCUAGCAGAUCAUUACAUGAAGGAACCUUUUAAAAAAACAAGCGCGUCCAUGCUCACAGGUGUACACACGGGUGAUCACACCCACAAACUACACCCUUUUUGGCUCCUACCUCAAAGCACACUGUGUUCUGUUGAUCUUAUGUGCUGCACAAUAAUGUUUAAUAUUUAGUAUUUACUGUCAUAUUCCCAUAUAUCAUUGUGAUGUUGUUUAUUCUAUUACUCUUGUUCUCUUCUGCUUGUUUUCUUUUUUCUUUCUCAGCAGGUGAUCCAGGUGAUCGAUAUAUGCAUUUUUUAUUUCUUUUUUUUUUUUUCUGCUCAUUCUGUUGGUUUUUGUUUUUUGCCCUUCUCCCCCGUCCCUCUUCUCAGUUGUUUCUCUUUCCCUCUUUCUUUCUCCCCUUCUUUCCCCCAGUCAAGUCUGUCCCGUAUUCAGUAAAUGAAAAUAAAAUAAACAAUAAAAGGUGAAUCAAAUGGACCAUUACGGCAAGGCUGGGAUGGUCAGUUUGGUAAAGUAAAUCCGUUGGGCAUCUUUCUUUGCCUUUAGACAACAAUUCUGAUGGCAAAAGAGCCAAACGGGACAGGCAAAAAAAAAAAAAAAAAAAAAAAAAAAACAAUCGGUGGCUGACUAAAUACUUUUUUGCCCCACUGUAGGUUCCCCCAGUUCUACAAGCUGUUCGUUCUCGUUUAUGUCCCCUUCACUUCUAUUUAGUACACGGGGAUCUGACAGGCCCGGGAGCCGCCGCCAGUCCCCUUCGAGGCUUUCCCCAAACCGCAGCUCAAUUCAUGUCCAAGCCAUUCACCUUUACCUACUAAAAUGCUGUCAAACUUAAAAUAGCCAGUGAAACUUGUCAGCCUCCAGAAUAAUGUGCUCAAAUGCAGGUUUGAGUAUCACGAACUGAACUUGAAGUCGAGCAGCUUUUUUUAACCAAGAUGUACAUUUGAUUAUUAAAUAAUAAUCAAACGAUUUC